rnacentral:sRNA from 1 species
AGUGCGGUUUCGCCUUUAUGGUGGUGGAGUACGCCCAAGCUGUGGGACUAUCAGUCCUCCCUGUGCAGCCAGUUCAGAGAGGCUGCACACUCUCUCGGCUCACUGCAACCUCUGCCUCCAGGGUCAAGCAGUUCUCCUGCCUCAGCCUUCCGAGUACCUGGGAUUACAGAUUCAUAAGAUGCCCUGAGGUGAUCUUGGCAUCACGGAAGGUAUGCACAUCACACCAUCAGCUUCAGAGAAUGGCAGCCAUUUAUUUGUCCCGUGGGUUUUUUUCCAGGGAACCAAUCUGCCCUUUUGAAGAAAAGACAGAGGUAGAAAGGAUGGUGGAGGACUACCUGGCAAACGGUUAUCAGGUAUCUGCAGUGUGCUGAGGAGUGUGCUGCAUAGACACCAAUGGGACAGGAAGAGCUCCUAACCUGGUUGUGCUGAGAUCAAGCAUAAGCAGUGUGCAGUGGCUCAUGCCUGUAAUUCCAGCUACUCAG